UAUCUUCCUCUUUCUCCAACGCAAAAACGCGGCUGCUCUUCACUUCUGAAAAACGUAGCAAGACAACUAGAUCUAGGAUUUCAGAAAUUAAAGCUCGGAACUCUUCUCCUUCUUCCUGCUUCUAGUUUCUUCGUUCGUCCCUCUGUAUACUGUUUUUUUUUUCUUGCUGCAAUUUUUUUAUUCUCUCUGUGUACUGUCUUUUCUCCUCCCUCCUCUUACUGUAAUUUAGGUUUUUAUAGCAAUCGUUGGGAAAUUUAUUUUAGAAAAUAUUUUAAUUUGUCUAUAAUUUUGG